GGUCUUAAGGUGAUAUUCAUGUCGAAUUGCAAAUUCGAAGGUGUAGAGAAAUCUUCUACUAAGACUU
rnacentral:tRNA from 2 species